rnacentral:rRNA from 1 species
CUAAACGCUGGCGGCGUGCCUAACACAUGCAAGUCGAACGGCAGCACGGGGGCAACCCUGGUGCGAGUGGCGAACGGGUGAGUAAUACAUCGGAACGUGCCCAGUCGUGGGGGAUAACGUAGCGAAAGCUACGCUAAUACCGCAUACGAACUGAGGUUGAAAGCGGGGACUCGCAAGGGCCUCGCGCCGAUUGGAGCGGCCGAUGGCAGAUUAGGUAGUUGGUGGGGUAAAGGCCUACCAAGCCGACGAUCUGUAGCUGGUCUGAGAGGCGGACGACCAGCCACACUGGUGACUGAGACACGGCCCAGACUCCUACGGGAGGCAGGCAGUGGGGAAUUUUGGACAAUGGGCGCAAGCCUGAUCCAGCCAUUCCGCGUGCAGGAUGAAGGCCCUCGGGUUGUAAACUGCUUUUGUACGGAACGGAAAAGGCGCGGGUUAAUACCCUGUGCUGAUGACGGUACCGUAAGAAUAAGCACGCGCUAACUACGUGCCAGCAGCCGCGGGUAAUACGUAGGGGGUGCGAGCGUUAAUCGGAAUUACUGGGCGUAAAGCGUGCGCAGGCGGUUGUGUAAGACAGAUGUGAAAUCCCCGGGCUAACCUGGGAACUCGCAUUUGGCUGACUAGCACGGGCUGGGAGUGCGGCUAGAGAGGGGAUGGAAUUCCCGCGUGUAGCAGUGAAAAAUGCGUAGAUAUGCGGAGGAACACCGAUGGCGAAGGCAAUCCCCGUGGCGCCUGCACUGUACGCUCAAUGCACGGAAGCGGUGGGGAGCAAAGGAGGAUUAGAUACCCUGGUAGUCCACGCCCUAAACGAUGUCAACUGGGUUGUUGGUCCUUCACUGGAUCAGUAACGAAGCUAACGCGUGAAGGUUGACCGCCUGGGGGAGUACGGCCGGCAAGGUUGAAACUCAAAGGAAUUGACCGGGGACCGCACCAAGCGGUGGAUGAUGUGGUUUAAUUCGAGUGCAACGCGAAAAACCUUACCUUACCCUUGACAUGCCUGGAAUCCUGCAGAGAUGUGGGAGUGCCCGAAAGGGAAGCCAGGAACAGGUGCUUGCAUGGCUGUCGUCAGCUCGUGUCGUGAGAUGUUGGGUUAAGUCCCGCAACGAGCGCAACCCUUGUCAUUAGUUGCUACGAAAGGGCACUCUAAUGAAGACUGCCGGCUGACAAACCGGAGGAAGGUGGGGAUGACGUCAAGUCCUCAUGGCACCUUAUGGGUAGGGCUACACACGUCAUACAUGGCUGGUACAGAGGGUUGCCAACCGCGAGGGGGGAGCUAAUUCCCUAAAACCAGUCGUAGUCCGGAUCGUAGUCUGCCAACUCGACCAUGCCGCUGAAGUCGGAAAUACGCUAGUAAUCGCGGAUCAGCAUGUCGCGGUGAAUACGUUCCAGGGUCUUGUACACACCGCCCCGUCACACCAUGGGAGCGGGUUCUGCAGAAGUAGUUAGCCUAACCGCAAGGAGGGCGAUUACCACGGCAGGGUUCGUGACUGGGGUG